rnacentral:rRNA from 1 species
ACGUACGACCAUAGAUACUGGGGAACUCGGGAUCCCGUCCGCUCUCCCAUAGAUAAGCCAGUAAUCGUCAGACUAGUACUCGGGUGGGUGACCACCGGGGAAUCCCUGAUGUUGUACGUU